AUAAGCGGAGGAAAAGAAACCAACAGGGAUUGCCUUAGUAGCGGCGAGUGAAGCGGCAAAAGCUCAAAUUUGAAAUCUGGCACUUUCAGUGUCCGAGUUGUAAUUUGAAGAAGGUAUCUUUGGGUCUGGCUCUUGUCUAUGUUUCUUGGAACAGAACGUCACAGAGGGUGAGAAUCCCGUGCGAUGAGAUGACCCAGACCUAUGUAAAGUUCCUUCGAAGAGUCGAGUUGUUUGGGAAUGCAGCUCUAAGUGGGUGGUAAAUUCCAUCUAAAGCUAAAUAUUGGCGAGAGACCGAUAGCGAACAAGUACAGUGAUGGAAAGAUGAAAAGAACUUUGAAAAGAGAGUGAAAAAGUACGUGAAAUUGUUGAAAGGGAAGGGCUUGAGAUCAGACUUGGUAUUUUGUAUGUUACUCUUUCGGGGGUGGCCUCUACAGUUUACCGGGCCAGCAUCAGUUUGGGCGGUAGGAGAAUUGCAAAGAAAUGUGGCACUGCUUCGGUAGUGUGUUAUAGUCUUUGUCGAUACUGCCAGCCUAGACUGAGGACUGCGGCUUCGGCCUAGGA
rnacentral:rRNA from 1 species